GGUCCCCUCGCCGUCCGGCCCGCCUCCCGGCGCGGCUGAAGUUCAGUGCGCCUGCGCGAUGGAGGAAAGGCGCCCGGUAGUGAGGGGGCGGCUGAGGCUCAGUGCGCCUCCGCGCCGCGGAUGGGCGAGGAGUGACCGAGGGGCCCGCCGCGGCUCCUGCGCCUGCGCGGCGGGGACGGGCGGCCGGCUGAGUGGACUGGCGGAGCGAGGUGCUUCGAUGGCGGAGGUCAUGGCGGCCUCCAUCCUAAAGGGCUGCGGGCGUCCCGGACGGCGGCCCCAGGCCCUGCUCACGCUGCCCUCAAGUGAGACCUGGACGAGGCGCGGGUGGGCCCGCGUAGUCCGCGCCGGUGCCCGCGCUCCACACCGCGGCUUCCGGCGCUGGGGUCCCGCCGAUGUCCGCGUGGGGUGUUUCGGGGAUUUAUUUAUUUUUGUACGUUAACCGCACUGGAAGCGGCCCCGAAAUAGGCUGAAACGUGUGGUGCUGAAGCUGCCACCUAAAUUCCCGAGAGAAGCGCCGUUUCUCCUCCCUGGCUUCUCGCCGACGCCCUCGCUGCUCGGAAGCCCCACGAGAGCCGGGGCCGCCCGCUGCCGUGUGCCUGCGGCUCCUUUCUCGGGUCCGGGAUUCUCCGGUGCCGGGGACGGAAAACACCUGCCUUCUUGGUUCAUGACCCUCGUAGAUGAACUUCCGCUGUUUUCUGCACUGCUUAGACCAGAAGACGGGAAACCAUGACUGCCGCCCCCCUGACGGGUUAAAUGUACCCUUCCCCGAAACAGGCACUGCCCGUCACCUAUCAAAGGCUGUGACUGCGCCCACCUCGUAGGAAGGACGCCGCGAUCCUGCUAAAAGCCCCUCGGCCUCUACCUGCCCGAGGGUACCCUUCCCCUCCCUGCUUCCGAGGGCGAACUCCAUUCCUCUGGAGUUGGUGUUUCCGGGUGGGUCAGCCUCCAGCCACCUUUGAAUAAACCCCCCUUACAUUAGAUUCUGACCCUGUGUGAUUUUAGGUUGGGAUUUGGGCGCCUGCAGAUGGGCCCGAAGCCAGCCUCCUGUGAUCCGAGCCACUUCUCUGGCACUCGGAGCGCUGGCACCCGCGGAGCGGCCUUGGCUCACCCGACCGCCUGGGAACUGAUCGGGGUCUCUGGCAGCCUCCCAGGGCUGAGGUUCAGACUCUGUUCCGCCUACCCAGGUCCACACCUGAUGGGGCUGGAGUGGAAGCUUGAUUUUAAGGCAAAGAGUCAGCUGUUUGCAGGUGUGUGCUUGCACUGCCUUUCGAGGUUAAGGUUUCGUUCGUCUUGCUAAAGUUUGCAACCUUUUUUCUCCUUCAGAUUUGGAGAAGGGGAAAGCAGUUUAUCUUUGAAAAGAAGAAACGAAUCGUGGCUUAAGCAAAAUUUGUAAUCUUUAAAACUGGCCAGGCUCUGGAGCUGAGUUCAAGUGACAUGUCUAAACUUUCUUCUUGAGUAACCAGAUUUUCCCUUACAGGCUUUUGUCACUUAAAAGAACUCAUGUUAUAGACAAUCGUCCAUCCAAAACCAAGUCUUUCUCCUUCAGGAAGGACCCAUCUUUGGCAACUGCAGCUGGAUUCCUGCGCAGUGCUUAUGGCGCCACCUCUUGUCAUAUUUAGAAAAAUGGUCUCACAUAACUUGAGAAAAAACAAAAUUUCAGUGACCAAAGCCGGGUACCCUUGGAAUACCAAGCUCAUUUAGUCGUUUGCUCAAUUGGAAAACGCUGGCUCUAGGAUCACACAGAAUCUUUGGGAGAGUUAUUUUUUAUGGUAUUUGGAAGCAUCCAAAAGAAGUUCUAAUAAAGAGGCAUUUCCAUGCAGAAGAGCAGUGGCCUCAGCAGUGAGUAAAAUUGCUGUAGAAAAACGUAUUGCAAUCCGGGGAAUUCAAUAGCAACAGAGGAACUUGUAGCAACAGAGGAACUCACUUCACCGGGUGGAUGAUUGAAUCGUGAGCUCCCGGGAAACAAAAAUUUGAAGAACCGCAAACUUCAACCAGGAGAUUUUGUCUAUUGGAAAUGACAUUUUUUAAAAAGUCUCUGCAACCAGCUAUGGACCUUAUCAGGUACUUCUGACCAGCCUUCACCGUAACAUUAGAAGAUGACUCUUGAAUUCACAUCUCCCAUCUAAAGAAAUCUGAGCCUCAGCUGGGCACGGUGGCUCACUCCUGUAAUCCUACCACUUUGGGAGGCCAAGGCGGGUGGAUCACUUGAGGCUGGAGUGCAGUGGUGCAAUCACAGCUCACUGCAACCCCCAACUCCCAGGCCUAAGCUGUCCUCCUAACUCAGCCUCCCGAGUAGCUGGAACUACAGGUACGUGCCACCACACUACUAAUUUUUUUAAAUGUUUAGUAGAGAUGAAGUCUCACUGUUGGCAGCUAGGUCACCAGGUGUGCCGUGUGACUCUUGUUAAGUCAGCAGCUGCUAACUUAACAGCCUCAGGUUCCAGGCUGACCUUGAACUGCUAAGCUCAACCAAUCCUCCCACCUUGGCUUCCCAAAGUGCUGGGAUUACAGGCGUGAACCACCGUGUCUGGCCACAGUUAGAAUUUUAAAGUAGGGGACCUAAAGCAGAUGCUGACCACAUGUGCCCAUUUGCAGGUCUGCAGUGGCCCUGGCAGUGUGGCCAGUUGUGUGGCUUGCCCAGACAAACUGAGGGAUUUCCCAGGACAAGGGCCUUCCUGUGCUAACACUGAGACGUUCACCAACUGCAGCCAUGGCAGGCAGCCUGCUUGUGUCCAGAGCUCUCAGGCAGGGUCUAUGUGGAGCUUGGUGCUGAAUUCUGCUCUGGAGCUGUGAGCAGCUUUAGCACAGCCCAGGGCUGUUUCUACACUUCCCCUAAAGCGGUACUGGCUCCCUCCCCUCUGAGUACCCCAGUGGGAGGCAGAGGGGGCUCUGUAGACAGCCAGAGGGGAGGUGCAGACACAGUUGGAGGAGAGGUGUAGACAGCUUGCAGGGGGAGAUGUAGACAGCUAGCGGGAAGGAGUAGAUGGCUGAAGGGAAGGUGUAGACACAGCUGGAGGGGAAGUGUAGGCAGUCAG